rnacentral:lncRNA from 1 species
GCGGAAUGUUUUUCCUCAAGUGAAUUACAACAACCCUUUUCCUCCUUAACUUCAACUGGAGCAGUAAGCUCCAACAACAAAAAAUAGAACCAGAGAGAGGGAUUGAUUGAAAUACUUCCCAGCCAAUCCGCGAUGGAAAAAGAGCGCGCGAGCAAGGUGCUGUCCAAUCAUCACUCGAAGGCGGGGCGGAGCCUUUCGCGCCUCCGCCCCUGGGUUGGCGGACAGGGGAAGGAGCGAAGAUGGCGGAGUGAGGCGUGCCCCGGGCAGCUGGCCUGCGGGCCCGGGGCAGGCCUCCCGCGAGAAGCGGAGUACUUGUGCUGGACCGUGUGAGGAACCAUAUCACACAAGAUGAAUAUUUUCCUGACCUUAGGUGCUUUUAUAUUCAGCUCAACAUUCUGAACUCAGGACUUGGCACGUAAGUAGAUAGAGAUAAUCAUCCCAAGUCCUGUUGUAGCGGCUUGAAAGGCUCCAUAGAAGCGACAUACUAAACUGUUAAGAGCAACAGAAGAUGAAGAUAAAAAUGAGUACAAGCCAGCUACCAUGGCUCACCUUUAUGCCCAGCUCUUGGGACCUGGGGAACUGAGGAAUUCCUAUGUGGACUGCUCAGUGAGGCGUCCUGGUUCUUCCAUCCUGUUACUUUCCCCAGUGAGAUGCAGAUGUCUUUCGACAGAUUACCUCCAUGGUUUAGGAUGCAGAGACUGCCUUUCUUUUCCUUCACGUCAGACUCAACACAGGAAAGCCGUGAGGAUGCAGCCGUCCGUCCUGUUGACUUCAGCAAGAAAACAAACCAUGGACUUGGGUCUUCUGCAGCUUUUGAAUUGGAAAGACGGUGUUUGCAAGUAG